rnacentral:lncRNA from 1 species
AUGCUUUUGCUGGCAUGCCUUCUGCUGCGACAAGCUUCUCUGUCCUGCUGCCUUCUGCACCAGUGCAGGCUCCUUUCUGCUGCAUGGCCAGCUCAUCGCGCUGGCUGCUGGCUCUCCUGAGUCUAGCCUUGGCAGCUUCUGUGCUUAGGCUGGCCUGCAUUGUACAGCCUGUCCCCUCCUGCCACCCUGGGCUGGACGAGUCCGCUGUUUGUGCUCCCAUGAGAGUCCAGCCUCACCUUGCCACGCACCAUCUGGCACCUCGCCUACUCCCAGCUCGGGGAAGUUGCUGGGCCCGCGCUGCGGCCGUUUCUACCUGGUCUCCCGAGAAUGAACUGGAUCUGCGCUGCUGCCGGCUACAGUGUGGGCGCUCCUUACUAGUUGA